AGAAGCUGAAGCUCCACUUCCCGAGACACCGGGAGGUCCGAGACGCGCACCAGCGAUGCAACUGCCCAGCAGGCCCGCCUGGGGACAAAGGCGCCAUGGGCAUCCCGGGACGGCCGG